rnacentral:rRNA from 1 species
CCCGAGACUCAGUGAAAUUGAACUCGCUGUGAAGAUGCAGUGUACCCGCGGCAAGACGGAAAGACCCCGUGAACCUUUACUAUAGCUUGACACUGAACACUGGUCCUUGAUGUGUAGGAUAGGUGGGAGGCUUUGAAGCGUGGACGCCAGUCUGCGUGGAGCCAUCCUUGAAAUACCACCCUUUAAUGGCUGGUGUUCUAACGUAGACCCGUGAUCCGGGUUGCGGACAGUGUCUGGUGGGUAGUUUGACUGGGGCGGUCUCCUCCCAAAGAGUAACGGAGGAGCACGAAGGUUGGCUAAUCCUGGUCGGACAUCAGGAGGUUAGUGCAAUGGCAUAAGCCAGCUUGACUGCGAGCGUGACGGCGCGAGCAGGUGCGAAAGCAGGUCAUAGUGAUCCGGUGGUUCUGAAUGGAAGGGCCAUCGCUCAACGGAUAAAAGGU